CUUGCUUUCCUUAUUCCUAGGAGUUUGUUUUCCUUUGGGAAAGGGCAUGUAACGUGUGCUUUAUAUUCCUGAAAAUGAAGCUGUUCUCUUGAAUUCUAGGGAGAAGGCGCCUUACAUGAUCUGUGUUGAAGUAUUGAGAUGUGACAUGAUAAGGAGUCUGAAAGGGCUGUGAGCAGAAAAGAGGGUUUAGCUCUCGCCAAAGAGUUGGGGUGUUUGCUUCUCAAAAUUAGUGCUAAAACUCGAGAAAAUGUGGAGCAGUGCUUUGAGGAACUUGCUCUAAAGGAAUUGAAUCAAGAGAGUGAGAUUUCAUCGCCAAAAGAGUUAGGAAGUAGGUCUUCUGGAGCAAGCAAUAGAGCAGCAUGAAAUAUGAUGGAGAUUUUAUGUAUUAAGAGUUACAUGUUAUGACAUUUAUAGUUGAAAAAUUAUGUUAUGUUUGAUACUUUGUAUAAGAGUUAUUACUUUUGUUUUCUAAUACUAAAAAAUCAUAUAUUAUGUUUAAUACUUUGUUUCUGAGUUAUAUAAUAUUUUGUUUAUA